GUAGGUGGCAAGCGUUGUCCGGGAAUUAUUGGGGCGUAAAGCGCGCGCAGGCGGUUCUUUAAGUCUGGAUGUGAAAGCCCACGGGCUCAACCGUGGAGGGUCAUUGGAAACUGGAGAACUUGAGUACAGAAGAGGAAAGCGGAAUUCCACGUGUAGCGGUGAAAUGCGUAGAGAUGUGGAGGAACACCAGUGGCGAAGGCGGCUUUCUGGUCUGUAACUGACGCUGAGGCGCGAGAGCGUGGGGAGCAAACAGGAUUAGAUACCCUGGUAGUCCACGCCGUAAACGAUGAGUGCUAAGUGUUAGGGGGUUUCCGCCCCUUAGUGCUGCAGCUAACGCAUUAAGCACUCCGCCUGGGGAGUACGGCCGCAAAGGCUGA
rnacentral:rRNA from 1 species